rnacentral:snRNA from 1 species
GGAUGCGAAGGCCAUCUGGCUGUGACAUCUGCCACCCUGUUGAUCACCAGGGUUGAUUCGGCUGAUCUGGCUGGCUAGGAGGGCGUCCCCUUCCUUCUUCCCUCAGUGAUUCAUGUGUGUCCCUCCUGAAGCUGUGCGCUCGGUCGCAAAGGACGACCACCCCCGAUAGAGGGGGGCCCGACCAAGCUCCUGGCUUGGCUGCGAUCCCAUGAACUACGCCUCAUUGGUUUGCACU